GUCCUUGAAAAAUGCCUCGUUAUCGCGUAACAGAACAAUGCUGCUUUCGGGCGGCUAUGGCGAUAAAUCGUCAUCGGAAUAGACCUUGCGGACCCGGGGGCGGUACCCGGCGCCUCCACCAUGGACACAUGCGCAAGCGCUGCGGGCCAUCCCGGUAAAUGCGCGCGCAGCGAUAGCAGGCGAGGGCCGUAAACCCGGAUCGCAUGUGUCUUUGAUGGGGGCGAAACAGGCUCGACGUGGGGUGGUAAAAGGUGGUCUUUCGCUCGGUAUGAUUCCGCCGUCAUCGGGUCUUGCGUAGGUGUCAACGACAACAACGCUGGGUACGCUCUCGCCGCGUGAGCGGUGCGGGUAUCCCGUCUAGUCCUGUAGGGUAGCACCUUCAGGCGGGGUUCGGAGGCACCUGGCAACAGAAGCCUCCACU
rnacentral:tmRNA from 1 species